AUGUCUGGUGGGGAGUAGGGCAUACAGAAGACCGGAGGACCUGUCACUCCAGGGCUCCUUGAGGUCCUUGACCUCAUGCUAAAUUUUCAUUUCCAAGAACCUCUCUUCACCCACCCCAUCCCAGUCUCCAAGACCAUCCUCUGCAAAAGCAAAACACAUUCCAUUGUUUAAAUGGGAAAUGUCCAAAAAGCCUUUCUUGCUGACCAGGCAGGAAUGUUUGGGGCAGCGCUUAUCCCUGCCCUCAUCCCUCAUGUUGCCAAAAACCCUCCCAUCUCCCCAGCCAGUAGAGUGUCAGCUACACAGCCAACGCCUUCUUCCAAAGAAUUCCAGAGGCCCUUAGAGGCCAAAUCCUUCUGUCAUGAUUGCACUUCAGAAUGAAUGUCAUUCCUUUUGAAAUGCCUUGUUAAACAGCCACCCCUCUCUCCAAUAGAACUUCCCAAAGCCCUAGCACUCGCCUAUAGCAGCACGGCUUCAAGUAAGGCUCAACGAUGCUGAAACCAGACCAGCCAGAUGUUUCUUAUCAGUGUUGCAAUUGGGGCGACAAUGACAAGCUGUCACACAGCUCCUUCUCAGUUUAAAAUCCUUGCCUGGCUCCCCAGAGCCUCCAGAUGAAAUGCAGAGGAUCAGGCCUGAGCCGCAGGACCCCUCAAAACCUGCCUGCUGCUCCCCCAUCCCCCACUCCCCACUUCUCUCCAACACGCACUUAAUGCUCCAGCUACAUGGAGUGGCACACAGCCCGCAAAGCCCUGAAGUCUUCCCCAUGCUAGGUCCUCUUCCUGGAAUUCCCUUCCCCGCCUAAGAAGCAAGGAUGUGCUCCCUCUGCCAGACUCCAGCCAUAUGUGUGUUUUCAUCUCAGUACUGCCAAGGCCUGCCGUAGAGAGGUACUUGGGAUUUGAUAAGCUAUGUUACUAGCUGUGUGACCUUGGCCAAGUUAUUUAACCUCUCUGUGCUCCAGCUUCCUCAUCUGAAAAAGGGAGAUGAAGGUAACAUACCUUAGAGGGUUGUUUGUGAGUACUAAAUCAGGUAACAUAUGUAAACAGCUUAGAACCCUGCCUGCCGUACAGCACAUGCUUAAUAAAUGUUACCUCACAGUAAUCAUUUCUUUGGUGCAGGUGAGUGAUUUUUGAAGAUCUCUUCUACAUAAUAGACAAUGAACUAUGUUUAAGGUA